CUCUCUCCUCUCUCUUCUCACUCUAUCCCCUCUUUCCUGACCCGACGACUCUCUCCCAAAUAGCGCUCGCUCUCCGACGACGGCCGCGCUCUCUCCGACGACGGCGACGCUCCCUGCCGACGACGGCCUGUCUCUCUACUCGCCGGCCUCUUCGCUCUCCGACGACGGCCGCCCUCUCUUCGCUCUCCGACGACGGCCGCCCUCUCUUCGACGAAGGCGACGCUCCCUCCCGACGACGGCCGUGCUCUCUUCGACGACGGCGACGGCGACGCUCCCUCCUGACGACGGCCUCUCUCUCUACUCCACGGCCUCUUCGCUCUCCGACGACGGCGACUCUCCCUCCCGACUACGGCCCCUCUCUCUACUCGACGGCCUCCUCCUCCCGACCUCUUUGUUCCCGAAUCGCGCUCUCCUGACGCUGGGCUUUCUCCGACGAGGGCCGCGCUCUCUCCGCUAUGGUCAAAGCGGUCUCUCCCGAGAAGCCCUAGAUCUGCGACGACAAUCCCCGCUUCACUUCGUACAGGGCCGACGAGGUCCUUGGUCGGAACUGGGGUAUUCCUGGGAUCUAUCUGUCGGAUGAAGGAGAGCUUGUUGUUUUGAAGUUUGAGAUAUGUUGUAAAGGAGCGAUUUUUCCGGCUGCCUCUGUUUUGGUCGUUCUAGUGGGUAGUGGAAAUGGAGAGGAUUUCUGGGCUCUGAUCUUCUUUGUCUUACUGUUUGGGGUAGUCCUGGGAUCUAUCUGAAGAAUGAAGGAGAGCUUGUUGCUUUGAUGUUUGAGAUUUGUUGUAAAGGAGCGACUUUUCGUGGAGGGUACGUGUUAACUCGUUUGGUAUGUGAGAGAAUUUGAAGGAUAGAAGGAAUACGAGGUAAGAGAUGUUGAUUGGUGUACCAGAGAGCGUGAAAAUAGGGCGGUUUUAUUGGUACAUCAUCAGUAAUAAUUUCAAUUUGGGGCGUGGUCUUGUAAUAUAGAUAUAGCGUAUUUAAUAGGCAGACCAAUCAGAAUAUUUUCUCUCUUUUCAUCCAAUUAACCACGCUGCCGCCUUUGCCUUGGCCACCUCCGACCAAAAGCUCCUCCAGUCUCACUCCCCAAUUUAGCUGCCGCCUUGCACAACGCGAAGGAUUACUUUACAUGGCUGAUCGCAUUGCUCAUAACUUGAAGGGUUCACAAGAUUCUGGUUUCGCUGAUCUUAACUUGUUUCGAUUUUAAGAUUCUGGUUUAGCUGCUGCCUUAUGAUUGAACUUUCACACUUCUUGAGAUGUUGCUGUUUAUCUUACAUUGGCUUGAUAACAGGGUCUGCUAUUGAUAUGAUGACCAGCACCAUAACUGUUGGUAGUCAAACCAACUGUUGCUCAUAAUGCUGAGGAGGAUUUAACUGCUGUAAAGAAUAAAAUUUGGGAUAGUCAAACCAGAAGGUGGCAAGCAAUUGGCAUGCUAAGGCAUGUUCUGUUCAGCUACUCUACCUUGGAGAUUAAAGAAACAUGCCAUUGACUUCUUGCUUUGCACCACGGAAGGAGAUAUCUCACAGAGAGUGAGAGUGAAACUCUAGAUUUCUCAUAAUUUGUUCCUAGCCAUUUUGCUGCCUUGUAGGUAUUAUAGUGAAAGAUGUUGAUUUUAUGCCAUUUAAUUUGUAUAUUCUUCUUAUCAUUAAAGUGCAAAACAUAGGGGAUUGAGACGUCAUCAUGUACACAUUGGAUGCUGUGCUAAGGAAGAAAGCUUUUGAUGUACUGGAAAGGGUUAGUGUUUUUUAUUUAAGAUCCUCUGCUCUUGCAUCACUAAACAGCUCGUCGCUCUUGAUUACAAAUUCUAACUCUUCCUUUAUGGUAACGGCAUUAAAGCCUGCUUAAAUGACAUAAGGGUAUUUUUUCUUUACAUGGAAGGAUGCAUAAUGUGACCUGAUUGCCUACAACUUGUGUAGGUAGCCAUCCUUCUAGAUAUUGUUAGAAAAGUGAGGCAAUCCAAAACUACAAACGAAUUGUUGCAAGGAAAUGUUGAUAAAGUUUUCCAUGAGACACCACUUUGGUUUGCUGAAGUGCUUGAACUGGUGGAAUUGGUUCGGAAGCCUUCUAAGGGAGGCCCUCCAAGUCUUCUUGAACAAAGUGAUGCGGAUAUUGCUUGCUCUAGGCCUGAUAUGAAGUUGCUUAUUUCAAGUGCCAAACUAGAUGUGGACAAGUUCAGUGAUUUUUUUCACUCCACCCUGAUAUUUAGAUAUCCAGGAAGGCGGUAUCCAGUUGAAAUUCUUCACACCAGUGCACUUGAAGCAGAUUACUUGGAUGCAGCUAUUGUUACUGCUCUUCAAAUACAUGUGCAGCAACUGUGUGGCGAUAUUUUGAUUUUUCUUAUCAGUCAAGAGGAAAUUGAAGCAUCGGAAGAGCUUUUGAAGCAUAUGUAAGGGGUUUUGGCUCCAAAAUUGCCGAACUCAUAAUAUGCCCAAUAUAUGCUAAUUUGCCUACAGAUCUUCAGGCAAAGAUAUUUGAACCCACGCCAGAAGGUGCUCGUAAGGGCUCCCAACGUUUCACUAGGACAAAAUGUCCAGACAAGGAUAAAGCAAUUCUCUUUGAUGAAUAAGUUCAAGAAGAAAGUUCUCUGAGUAGUAGCAGACAAUUUGGCUGAUGAGCAAGUGGAUCAUAUCAAAGAGAUGUUCCACGUGAUGGACACCGAUAAAAAUGGAGAUCUGACAUUUGAAGAGUUGAAACAUGGCCUGCACAAAUAUGGACAGCAAGUUGCUGAUCCUGAUGUGUAGAUGCUGAUGGAUGCAGCUGAUGAAGAUGGAAGUGGAACGCUGAACUGUUAGGAGUUUGUGACUAUGUUAGUUCACUUGAGAAGGAUUGGUAGCGAUGACCACCUUACUCGAGCUUUUGAAUUCUUUGACAAGAAACAAAGCGGAUAUAUUGAAUUCGAUGAGUUGAAAGACGCUUUGAUAGAUGACAAUCUUGGUCCGAACAAUGAAAAAUUUAUUGAAGACAUCAUUUUCAAUGCUAAUCUAGAUAAGGUAAUACAUAACCAGAACAACCUGCAAUUUGGAAUC